rnacentral:rRNA from 1 species
UGUUCGGAUUACUGGGCGUAAAGCGCGCGUAGGCGGAUUAGAAAGUUGGGGGUGAAAUCCCGGGGCUCAACCUCGGAACUGCCUCCAAAACUGCUAGUCUAGAGUUCGAGAGAGGUGAGUGGAAUUCCGAGUGUAGAGGUGAAAUUCGUAGAUAUUCGGAGGAACACCAGUGGCGAAGGCGGCUCACUGGCUCGAUACUGACGCUGAGGUGCGAAAGUGUGGGGAGCAAACAGGAUUAGAUACCCUGGUAGUCCACACCGUAAACGAUGAAUGCCAGUCGUCGGGUAGUAUACUAUUCGGUGACACACCUAACGGAUUAAGCAUUCCGCCUGGGGAGUACGGUCGCAAGAUUAAAACUCAAAGGAAUUGACGGGGGCCCGCACAAGCGGUGGAGCAUGUGGUUUAAUU